UACGGAGGGGGCAAGCGUUGUCCGGAUUUAUUGGGCGUAAAGAGCGUGUAGGCGGCCUGAAAGGUCAGCUGUGAAAACUCGAGGCUCAACCUCGAGACGUCGGUUGAAACCAUCUGGCUAGAGUCCGGAAGAGGAGUGUGGAAUUCCCGGUGUAGCGGUGAAAUGCGCAGAUAUCGGGAAGAACACCCGUGGCGAAGGCGGCACUCUGGGACGGUACUGACGCUGAGACGCGAAAGCGUGGGGAGCGAACAGG
rnacentral:rRNA from 1 species